rnacentral:rRNA from 1 species
UACAGAGGGUGCGAGCGUUAAUCGGAAUUACUGGGCUUAAAGGGUUUGUAGGCGGCCUUGUAAGUGGGGUGUGAAAUCCCUCGGCUCAACCGAGGAAUAGCGCUCCAAACUACAUGGCUUGAGGGAGACAGGGGUAAGCGGAACUGAUGGUGGAGCGGUGAAAUGCGUUGAUAUCAUCAGGAACACCGGUGGCGAAAGCGGCUUACUGGGUCUCUUCUGACGCUGAGAAACGAAAGCUAGGGUAGCGAACGGG